rnacentral:rRNA from 1 species
UACGGAGGGUGCAAGCGUUAAUCGGAAUUACUGGCGUAAGCGCAACGCAGGCGGUCUGUUAAGUCAGAUGUGAAAUCCCCGGGCUCAACCCUGGGAACUGCAUUUGUGACUGCAUGGCUGGAGUGCGGCAGAGGGGGAUGGAAUUCCGCGUGUAGCAGUGAAAUGCGUAGAUAUGCGGAGGAACACCGAUGGCGAAGGGCAAUCCCCUGGCCUGCACUGACGCUCAUGCACGAAGCUGGGGAGCAACAGG